rnacentral:rRNA from 1 species
AACCUCCGCAAUGUGAGCAAUCGCGACGGGGGGACCCCAAGUGCCAUUCUUAACGGGAUGGCUUUUCUUGAGUGUAAAAAGCUCUUGGAAUAAGAGCUGGGCAAGACCGGUGCCAGCCGCCGCGGUAACACCGGCAGCUCUAGUGGUAGCCAUUUUUAUUGGGCCUAAAGCGUUCGUAGCCGGUUUAAUAAGUCUCUGGUGAAAUCCUACARCUYAACUGUGGGAAUUGCUGGAGAUACUAUUAGACUUGAGGUCGGGAGAGGUUAGAGGUACUCCCAGGGUAGGGGUGAAAUCCUGUAAUCCAA